CAGUGGAUCAUGUGGUUUAAUUCGAAGCUACACGAAGAACCUUACCAGGGCUUGACAUCCUAGGAACCUUCUGGAGACAAGGGCCCUAUACAGGUGUGACGAGCGCAACCCUUGUCGUAUGUUGGGGAUGUCAGGUAGCAUGACCCUUACGCCCUGGCUACAUACAUGGCCGGUACACGCGUUGCCAAAUCGCAAGAUGGAGCUUCGCAUCAAAACCGGUCCCAGUUCGGAUUGAGGUGCAACUCGCCCUCAUGAAGCCGGAAUUGCUAGUAAACGGAGUCAGCAUAUCACGUUGAAUACGUUCCCGGGUCUUGUACACACCGCCGUCACACCACGAAAGUUGGGGAUACCCGAAGUGCCUAUUUACUAGGCCCUAAGUAGAUUCAGCGAUUGGGGUGAAGUCGUACAAGGC
rnacentral:rRNA from 1 species